AUUACAUAAAGAAAAAUGUCGGAACGUAAAGUGUUAAAUAAAUAUUAUCCCCCGGAUUUCGAUCCAUCAAAAAUUCCGCGCAUGAAAUUAGCGCGUAAUCGACAAUAUACAGUUCGUUUGAUGGCACCUUUCAAUAUGAGAUGCAAAACCUGCGGAGAAUACAUUUAUAAAGGGAAAAAGUUUAAUGCUCGCAAAGAGGACGUCGAAGGGGAUGAUUAUUUAGGAAUACGUAUUUACAGAUUUUAUAUCAAAUGUACACGAUGUUUGCAAGAGAUAUCGUUUAAAACCGAUCCAAAGAACACGGAUUAUGAAAUUGAAGCUGGUGCGACUAGAAAUUUUAUGGCGUUGAAAUUAGCGGAAGAACAAGCGCAAAGAGAAGAAGACGAAGAAAAAGAAGAAGAAGCUACUAAUCCGAUGAAACUUUUGGAGAAAAGGACGCAACAAUCUAAACAAGAGUUGGAAUUAUUAGAAUCUUUGGAAGAAUUAAAAGAUCUCAAUCGACGUUUAUUGCAGUCGAUUGAUUUUGAAGAAAUGAUAGAACAAUUUAAUACGACUAAACAGAGGGUAGAGAAAGAACAAGAAGAAUUAGAUGAACAAUAUAUUAAGUCGGUGUUUGGUAAUAAAAAUCAAAAAGGUGUUGUCGUGGAAGAAGAAAUUGUAGAAUUGGAUGAAAGCGGUCCUCCUAAAAAAAUGUUAAAAACAAAAACGAAAGAUAAGGAUAGUAAUAAUUUAGAUUCCAGAUUGGAUGAUGCGGAAUCUAAAGAAACUAAUGAUAUUCAUUUAUCGGGACCAUCUACAAGUACAUGUACGACUGCCAAAAGUUCAGUAUUUUCAAAUGAUACCAAGGCACCAUUUAAUAAAAAGAAUCUAGUUCUUGUUAAAAAGAAAGUAAAUUUAGGUGUAAAAACUAAUCAAAGUAACAAUAAUGAGAAAAAUGUUUCAAUGAAAACUGUUAAGUUACCGGAAGUAAAUUCAGAUAAAGUUAAUAAUGUUAGUGAAAAUACAGUGCCUAGUUCCGGUAACGUUGGAAAUAGUCUUUCUUUAUUAACAGAAUAUUCCGAUAGUAAUAGUGACAAUGACAGUAAUUAAUGCAACUAAUAUCAAUUAAUUGCAUUUAAGAUAAUAUAUAUAUAUAUAUGUAUACAUAUAUAUGUAUAUUUAUUUUAUAAGUUUUCCUAAUAUAAAUAUAUUGUACAAAGAAACGUGUGUAUAAGUGUAUAGUGGUUUUACAAAAUGAUUCCGAAUAGAAGAAUUUGAUUUAAUUUGUGUAAAUUAUCGGUAAAAGAAUCAUCGGUGUUAUCGUACUAUCAAUUAACAAACAAAAAUUCGUACAAUUGCAUACAAUUUUUUAAAACGAUAUCAAACGAUAUGUAUUUUAAAUUCUUCCAAAAUAUUAAUUUUAUACAGAGCAAGUAAAUGGCGAUGACAAGAAUGUUUCUUACAGGAUGCCAAACCCUCUACUCCUAAAACACAAAAACAUAAUAAAUCAGGCAAGUAAAAUUAAUAGUUGGUCUGUUUCAAAGGCUAGGCACUCUGUAAGGAACAAUUCGGUCUUAACGCCAAUGAUGAUUUCAAUCAGUACUGACAGGAGGAGGAGGAGGAGGAGGAGGAGUACAUAGCCUAUUAAAACAGACCACACCGUAAUAAUAUAUUUAAUGUAUUUUGCAAUAUAUCAUUAAUUUAACAGUA
rnacentral:misc_RNA from 1 species